UACGUAGGGGGCAAGCGUUGUCCGGAUUUAUUGGGCGUAAAGAGCGUGUAGGCGGCCAGAUAGGUCCGUUGUGAAAACUGGAGGCUUAACCUCCAGCUGUCGAUGGAAACCAUCUGGCUAGAGUCCGGAAGAGGAGAGUGGAAUUCCUGGUGUAGCGGUGAAAUGCGCAGAUAUCAGGAAGAACACCCGUGGCGAAGGCGGCUCCUCUGGGACGGUACUGACGCUGAGACGCGAAAGCGU
rnacentral:rRNA from 1 species